AAUUUAAACUUAUAAGCUGAAAUAAGGAUAAUUGAAGUUAAACCGUUUAACAUCACAUUUUCUGGUUCCCCAAACCCCACAAAACCCUGACGGGCAAAGUUAGCAAGCUCGCUACUAUCGCCGGUCAGAAAUUCGCCGGCGGCCUGCCUAUCCAGAAAUUGGAAAAAGGAAAGGAAAAGGCCUUUAUUUUUUUUGGAUGAAUUAAGGAGAAGAGAGAGAAAAUGCCCAAUCGAACUCGGCCGAUGACAGCAUUAUUGGUGUUUACCGGACUCAAUGCCAUUUUGGUCUCAACAAUUGAACCAGUCUACGAUUUCGUCUGCUUCCAUCCCUAUUGGGAACGCAGGAGAGAACGCCGGCGUCAGGAACGUGAGGCUGCACUGGCGAAGGGUCCGGUAUCGCAUUGAAAAUUAUAGCAAUGGAAAGUGUCCUGGAUAAGCUUUCCAUCCAUCAUCCUAUAGUAUUUUGUGAUUUGUAAGGGAAGGAAAGACUUGGAACUAAAAAUUCUACAAAAGAAACAGUAAGAAACAGAAAAAGUGGGUAAAAAAAAUACUUUCCUUCACUUGAAUCUUUACCAAUGAUUUUGGGAGCUACCCUGAAGCACAUCCUUUGGAGCACUUUUGGCAGAAAAAGUUUUGACUGAAUUUUAAUCUCAUGCUGAGGGAAAUAACUGUUGUAGCUUUGGGACUUCACUAUGUAAAGUAUGACUUGGAGGUUGGACAUGUUACAUGUAAAGGCUCCUUCGUAGGUUUAUCCACCAUAUGUAAGUAAAACUAGGGGUGUUUCUUUUGAAAUUUUGGUGGUCACAGUGCCUUCUUUCAUUUUUCAGGAAAAAAUUGGUUGAUGCAAACUAUUCUGUUCAUCCUGUGUUAUUUAUCCUCUUUGCUGGUUCCUUA